AAUGUAGUUCACUUAACAUGUUUUUAUGGAAGAAUGGCUUAAAGAGUGGAUAACCUCAUAUUGUUAAUUGUUCUUCAGAUUCACACCAAGAAGAGGAAUAGAUUGAAGCAUCAAUGUUGAAAUGAUCUCGUCUACAUUCAAUAUAAUUUCCGUCUUUAAGCA